rnacentral:lncRNA from 1 species
GAACCUCCCAAGUUAUUGGGCUCACAUGCACCUGCCCUUAUCUCAAAGACCUCAGACGGCUAUGCAUGUGCACCAGAUAACUUAACAGGAUCCGCUCGAGUGUCCCAAGGACCCCGGAUAAACCACUUACAACCAGGAUCGCAAGAUUAAGUAAACACAAAUCACACACCAACAUUUGCAGCAGAAUUUCUUUAUUACAAAAAGUUACAAGUUACAACAAAAUUUACAUUAUAUUUAUCGGAGUGGUUACAAAAAUAAGUGUUUCAAAAGAAUUACACUUUAAAAUGUUAUAGAAUAUUUGUAAAUUUGAAAUACAUGCUAGCUUAAGUGAUAAUCCUUAUUAAAGAAAUUAUAGAAGGGAUAUACUUAUAUAAGAAGGACGAGCCCACCGACACUUAACAUCAAUCACAAUUAAAGUGACUCGUAACCUGCAGCAACAAUGGGAAUAAAACUCUGAGUACGCAAUUACUCAGCAAGACGUACCCGACAAAAGAAAAGACUCUCAAGGGUAUGCUGGUUUGUCGGGAAUAAAGGUAAAGCUUAUCAAAUUUCAAAGACUCAUUUUUGCAGAAAAGGUUACUAGUAGUGGAUCCUUAUGCCAAAUUUUUACAUCAUAAGUUAAGUACUUUUCCUGAAUCUAGAUUUGUCGAAUCUAGAGCAUUCACUUGUCCUACACUAGCUUUCUUUUAAAAUCAAAAUUUUGUUUCGCUUGUUAUCUACGAUGAAGGGCAGCGAUCCAGUCUUCAUAUCCGAGAAGUAACGGCAAUCUGAACCGAUUAAUACCCAGCUGGCGAUCUCCAACCACACGAUAUAUGUAGCACUUAACCCUUGCAUAUGUCUACCAUUCCCACGGAUCUUCCACUACGUGAACCGGUCCGUGCCACCCGAGAGCACAGUACUCCCCAUGCAGCCUCUUGCCAGGGGGUACACGCUACUCUCACCAUCUCUCCACUCCCAGUGCGCGAUUGUCUUUUCACAUAGGGAAUAGCCGGGUUCAGGCUUACCCAUGACGAGGUAUGUGGCCAGUUAAAAGGUCCUAGAUCAUCAGGCCAACAAUCGGUACGGUCCUUAAUCGACACAGACGGGCGACCUUUCCUGCUCAACGUCUGGUCCCAUUUUAAACUAUUUCAAAACUUUGGCGCCUGACAGAGAGGCCAUGCCUGGAUAAUGAAUUUAUCAACGUCUUGAUGCCUUCAUUAUCCCAAGCCAUUUUCUUGUUAGUAAAAAACAUGAGUCAUAGAUCAAAAACAUUUUUCUUAGUCUAUCAGCAUGACUAAGCAUCUCUAGCUUUUAUAAAACAGGUGACAAGGUAUGGUAAUCAAUCUUUCAAGGAUGGUAAUGCAUCAAGUGUUUAAUCAACCAACUCCUAUCACCUAAUGCAACAUAUAAGUGAUAAAAUUUUGUAAACACAAGGGAGGUGGCAAAUGCACCGGGGCUUGCCUGGGAUAACACUAUGUUAGUGUUGUUAGAUGAUACUCGCUUGGCGAGCACCUCACAUCCUGGCACUUGGUUGACUCAUCCACUUUAGCUUCGUUUAUCAGCAUCGUCUUGUGAUCAACCCAGCUCUUGUCCUCCACAUCACGUGAUUAAUUAACGUACCUAGAUGAUAUGCAAUAAUGCAUAUGAGUAAGGACAUGAAUAGUAAUUAAUAAAUAACCUAUACUAAAGAGGGGAAACAUUUCAAGCAAGACAUCGCAAACAUUCAUAACCAAGCAUUAGAUAGAGAUACACAACCAAGCAUAAUGAUCACGUUCUCUAACUUACACGAAUUAAAUCCAAACAUCAAGAAUUAUAAAACUUGAUAUAGUUCCUAUAUUUUCUUUAGUUCAAACAUAACACCAAAAGAUUCAUCUAAAGCAUAGGGUCAUUAUUUAUACACUCCAAAUUUAGAACAAGAAUUAACCUUCUAAACCACUUUGCUAGAUGACUUGAAUUACACACCCUAUUGAAGAAGACAUCUCACUAACACAAGAUAGUACGAUGCCACACAAUAGAGAAUUUAUUACUUAAUGGUGAAGCACAAUACAACACUUCAUAUGCAACAAGUUUUCAUCAAUCAAGGAUCAAGAAUGGACUAAUCCUACCUAGUCCAAACAAGAGUGAAGUCAAGCAUUCACAUUUACAUAAUUUCUGGACAGCCGUACUAUAGUCAAUUGUUUUGCUCAUAACUCAUAAAAUAUUCAUCCUAAAAUGGUAAACUAGGACUUUCUGGAAAGCAUAUGAAGUCCUCUAUAACUUUUGUAUUACCAUCACAACAAGAUUCGAAUUUUAGAAAUGUCAAACAGUACUAAACAUAAAUUCUGUCCAGAUUUGGACAGAAUUCGACUACUCAGUUCAAAAAUUCAUAACUGGAGUCUCAGGCAUCCAAAUUAGGUGAUCCUAGACUUUUUAGAAAGCUAAUAGAAUUUUCUACAGUUCAUUUAUAAACAUCUCAGGUUAAUUCAAUGAGUAGCAUGGUCAGUUAAUACAAACAGUCUAUUCUAUCCAGAUUUGGACAGAUUCAGACUUUAUAGUUCAAACAGCUGUAACCUAAGCUAUAGAUUACCAAAAAGGGUGAUCCAAAAUUUGUUGGAAAGAUUAAUAAAAGUACUCCAAUUCUUCUAUAAUUACUAAGGGCUAAUUCUCAGUUUAACUUAAUCAAACAAUCCAAUUUUCAAAACCUGUACAGAAUUUGGACAGAUUCUGAAACUGGAUUUGGGAAAAUCAUAACUCCUAAACUACUAAACUUAUGGUCAUGACAUUUUUACACAAUCAAGAUAAAGAAGUUAUCUACAACUUUUAUAUAUCACAGUUUCAUAGAAAAUAUUAUUUGCUUCACUCAACUAUUACCACAACAAAGAGGAUGCGUGGAGCAAAAUUUCAGUUUAGGCACAAUCAAAUUUAAAUUGAUUACCUAAACAAGAUUAUGAGGAGGAGUGGAGGACCACUACUACUCAGCCCUACAUUAUCAUACUUAGUCAUAGAACUUCUAGUUACAUCAAAGCACAAUCCAAGCUGUCUAAGAAACAUACAUGGACUCAACCUCUUCUAAUCAUUUUUUUGCCUACGCAAUACCAUCCUCCGCAUCACUAAUAUACCCUACUUCGUAAACAUGGAACCAAAUCAAUCACACUCGACAUACAUGUCUUCUCAAGCACUCCUCGCAUAACUUGUAUUUCUAACAUCAACUUCACACGCAUACGAACCGUCUUAUUUCACAAUCAUGAAACCAAUAAAAAUAGUGAAUUGGCUCACCACAUCACAAUUUAACUCAAUAUUCGUACGAACGACGAUAGCCUUUGAUUGAAGUCUUCUAUCGAACAUCUGGCACUUGUCGCACAGCUUGCCUCGCCUGAUAAAUAUGAAAUUCUUCACAUCUCGCACAUUACGCACACACAUAUACAUAACAUUAGGAUCUGAUAACUUGAUUUUGGGUAUUAGUACUGGCAAGGAAUGAACACAAUGAGAAACGGGUCCUCACCGGGGUGCGAUGAGGUCACAAUAGGGCUGCACAGAUCGGAUGUAGCACGCUGCGAUAUUUUGUCGAACACGCCGAGGACGCGACACGAAGGGGCUUCAUGGCUAUUGCUGCUCCAUAUCCUUGGGCAUGUGCUGGGCACAGGGGCCAGGCUCGGCCACCAGGGAGAUGAAUGGUGUCCAGGGCGCCAUGGUUUGGGCAUCGGCUUGGAGGGCGAAAAUUGUGGCAGAGGAGAUGGGGUGCUCCUGCGCCAUGGACAUCUAGGGCUGGGCACCUGGCUGGGGAGGGAGGAGAUUGAAGAGAGGCAGCCAUGGGAGGGACGCAACAGGGAGCAAGGGCGGUCAACAGAAGGGUGAGGACGAGCGCCAAGUGCAGGACGCGGCGGUACAGAGGCUGGGCACUAUGGCGUCGGCCAGGGAGCUUUGGCAGGAGGUGGGAGACGCUAGGGCAGGGAACCUGGGCGCUAGGAAAGGAAAAGAGUUGGCCUUGAGCGCGUGAGAGACAACCUGGUGCAAUGGGAAUUC